CCUACGGGGGGCUGCAGUGGGGAAUAUUGCACAAUGGGCGCAAGCCUGAUGCAGCCAUGCCGCGUGUGUGAAGAAGGCCUUCGGGUUGUAAAGCACUUUCAGCGGGGAGGAAGGCGGUGAGGUUAAUAACCUCAUCGAUUGACGUUACCCGCAGAAGAAGCACCGGCUAACUCCGUGCCAGCAGCCGCGGUAAUACGGAGGGUGCAAGCGUUAAUCGGGAUUACUGGGCGUAAAGCGCACGCAGGCGGUCUGUCAAGUCGGAUGUGAAAUCCCCGGGCUCAACCUGGGAACUGCAUUCGAAACUGGCAGGCUAGAGUCUUGUAGAGGGGGGUAGAAUUCCAGGUGUAGCGGUGAAAUGCGUAGAGAUCUGGAGGAAUACCGGUGGCGAAGGCGGCCCCCUGGACAAAGACUGACGCUCAGGUGCGAAAGCGUGGGGAGCAAACAGGAUUAGAUACCCUUGUAGUC
rnacentral:rRNA from 1 species